AGCAACGUAGCACAGUUGGUAGUGCGCCGGUCUCAUACAUAUAUGUACAUGAGGAAUCCGGAGGUCGCUUGAUCGAGACAAGCUGUUGCUA